CUACGGGAUGCAGCAGUGAGGAAUAUUGCACAAUGGGGGGAACCCUGAUGCAGCAACACCGCGUGGAGGAUGACGCAUUUCGGUGUGUAAACUCCUUUUAUAUGUCAAGAAAAUGACGGUAGCAUAUGAAUAAGCACCGGCUAACUCCGUGCCAGCAGCCGCGGUGAAUACGGGAGGGUGCAAGCGUUACUCGGAAUCACUGGGCGUAAAGGACGCGUAGGCGGGUUGGAAAGUCAGGUGUGAAAUCCUACAGCUUAACUGUAGAACUGCACUUGAAACUUCUAAUCUAGAGUAUGGGAGGGGGAGAUGGAAUUAGUGGUGUAGGGGUAAAAUCCGUAGAUAUCACUAGGAAUACCUAAAGCGAAGGCGAUCUCCUGGAACAUUACUGACGCUAAGGCGUGAAAGCGUGGGGAGCAAACAGGAUUAGAUACCCCAGUAGUC
rnacentral:rRNA from 1 species